AAUAAUUUUAAUGUAUAUUGGCAUAUUGAACAACAUAAAAACAACAGCUUUUCAGCUUUGCUAUCUAAGUACUCUGAUUCAUAUCACCGUUUUUUGCACCCUUAGGUAUAACUAACAAUCCCUUCAAAGUUAGUAUAAAUAUUUUAAGGAUGUAUCUCCUGUAGAAUAUGCAUUUUGUAGAGAAAUCAUCUUUUAUAUAGAAAAAAGAAUGUCCAUGCAAAUUUGAAAUUUGUCAAAAAAAAGAAUAUGCAUUUAUAGAAGCUGAAGGAAAGUCCCUCUUGAUAGUCACAUUUAGCGCAUUUUUAGUUAUUGAAAUUUAUGUUUAGAAUCUUAUUUGCAUAACGUGAGCAUGUGAUACCUAUGAAAAGGGAAUGCUAAUGAAUGCUGAUGGGGGCAUGACAGUGAUGAGCAAUCCUUUUCAAUAUUACUUUUAUUUCAGCUGAAGAAAAAAUUGUUCUCUUAUAAGCAACUGCACCUGUACAGGUUUUAAAUUUUACAAGGCAACCUCUGUAAUCAUCUCUAGAGAUGCGUAAGAAUCAGAAUUGCCUAUUUCUACAAGUUCAUGAAUUUAUAUACUUUGGCUGUCGACAUCAACAAUAAAAAUCUUUAACCAUUUUAACUCUAACCACUAGCCAAAAUAAGUCAGUCAGGGUCAACUAAAAGAAUCACUUUCGGCCUAUUAUUUAUUUUUGGACUGUUCUGACUGUAGUGUUGUCUGGAAGCUAUAUAUGCGUAUGAGAGAACUCUACCCUGAUAUUAGGUUCAAUAGCUUCCUGUUCAUUGCAAAAGUGUACCAACAGUUUUCAUUUCCUUCUGGCUUAAUCUUAGAACUCAAUCAUUAAGUCUUGUAACUCUAUUUCAAAUAGGUUCUUUCUGGGCCUUCAUUAUAUUUUCAGUUAAAUACUGCAAAUGCCACUUUCAUAACCUAAAAUUGAUAUAUUCAAUUAAUCUUUAUUCAAGAAAACCGGGUAUUACUAAGAGGGACUUACUACUAGAUUUCUACUGGAAAUAAGGAGGAUGUGUGUGUGUGUGUACCUAAGCUUGUGUAAAUACAUUUUUUUUUUUAAAUCAGAAAGCUAGCAGCCCAUAGGUCAUCUUUGUGCAAAUAAAAAUAGUUCCCUCUCUGGGGGCUGGGCAGCUCCAUGGCCUCUCAUCUUGUCCAGCUGGGUUACAGAGGCUACAUUUCAGUCCCUACUUGCCUUUUUGGCCUGGCGUUCUCACAGCCUCACAGGAGGCUCUAUGAAGUAUACUGCAUUAUAUUUCAAACUCCAGGAUUCUCUGUUCACUGGUAUAUAGAUACAGGUAUAAACAAUUUCAGAUAUAAAAAAAACUUACUUCCAUAUGAUUAGAUCUGAAGAAUUUCAGUAAUUCUUUAUAACCCUGAAAUUCCUUACAUAAGGAAGGGAAGAAAGUUAAGCCAUUUUACUUAUUUGUACAAUGAUUUCAGAUGUAACCAUUUAUUGCUAUCUGAAGCCUGAAACAAAUAUCUCAAUAGCUGGGAGGCUACAGAAAAGGCUUUCUGAGUAAAGACACGAGAGCUUUUCCAAAAGAAUUAAUUAAGGUCAGAAAUGAAGUGACAGAAUCUGAAACUAAUUUUCAGAAAUCUGAAAUACAUGAACAUCUUUAAAGGAAUAAAAAAAGAGAGAAAGGGAGAAAAAGUAGUUCCAAAUCAUUUGUCAAAGCAAAUAGAUUUAUGUCAUGUACUUAAGGUCUAAGUCUAUGUGACAAACAGCUGCCCUUUGAUAAACUGUUGAACUCAGAAGUCAAUGAAAAAAAUGUCACUAAGUAGUACAAGUUUGGAGAAGAAUAUAACAUUAUCUGCCCUAUAAAUUUUAUUUCGUUUCUAGAUUAAUGACAUUUUUAGCACAGAUCAAAAAUUAUAUAUCUCCUAAUAAGUAAUGACAACAAGUUUAUUUCAUUUUCUAAAAUAGAGCCAUGGAUAACCCACAGGUCAUGGGUGAAUGUGGCUCUUGAUUUGAUUGUACCAGACCUCCAGAAAAUGUUCUAAAAUUCAGUGCAUGUUCUCUUCUGCUAGUAAAAGUCUAAAAGCCAAUUUUGUGUGCAUAUGGGAGAUCCAAAGAUGAAAACAAACGUAGUCGUAGAAUUAUAGAUUAUUUCAGCCAAAAGGUCCAAAUAAAUUACCUAACCUCAACUUUUCUUUUUACAGUGAGGAAUCUGAGGCCCAGAGAGAUUAAGAAGCUUCACAAGUGACAUGACUUGUGCCAAAUCACAAGGUCAUUUAGUUGCAGAACUGGGACAGGAAUUCAUGCCCAGUUCUCUUUUCAAAACCCUGUGGAAAAAAGAAGCACAUUGAAUUUAGCCUUUGAUUCGUCAUCAGCAUUAUCAGAGGUAAAGCAAAAGGGAGUAUUAACAGAUGUUCAGCAAAAUGGAGGAGAUGAGGUGCAUUUUUUUUAAGAGAAAUGUUGGAAACAACCUACUGAAGAAAGGCUAAGACUCCUACAUCAGAUUACCAAUGCACUUUGUCAUAAAUAUUUCAGAAUGCCUAUGAGAAAAAGAAUAAAGCUAAAUCAAGUCCAGAAUACAGAGACAAAUCACUGCUGCAUUGACAGAGUUCUCAACAUUCAUCAAAUUAUACAAUAGUCAGAGGAGUUUCCUGUGGAUAUAAGGUCCAUUUGAAUCCUUAAGAAAAAGAGUGGAUAUUGAAGAAAUAUGUUCUUUAUUCUGAGCAGAAAGGCCAGCAAAAAAGAUAAUGGAUUUGCCAAAAUAUAUCAGGACAAUACUAUUAGCCAUAGGUAAUUGGAUGAUAAAAAUUGCUGUUACCUUUAUGUGCUUUUGAAACUCUACAUGAUUUUCUUUGCAAAAAGGUCAUUAAUAAAAAAUUGCAUAAUUUAAUGGGUUUCAUCUCAUUUUUGUAGUUCAAAUCAAUCACCUCAAUGGCAAUCAGAUAUUAAGCACAUUGUAUUAUUUAUCUAUAGCCUUUGAGAAGAGAAAAAAAAUUUAGUUCACUUUUAAUUAAAUAUCUGUUGAUCCCCAAAUUUAAUACUAUUUCUGAUAAACUCAUGUAAAAGAAAUAAAGUGAAUAUAGAUAGCUUUAAAUGGAAUUCAUUUUUAAAAACUUGUCAGAGGACCCUGUUAACAUCUUUCCAUGUCCUAACAUGGCUAUAACUUAAAAAUAGGCCUGAGAAUAGAUCAUUAUAGGCCAUAAUCUACUAAUUAACUAAAAUUUUUUGAUUUCCCAUAUAGGCAUCUCCAAAUGUUUUCUAGAUCUUGAGUUUUAUUCUAAUAUUACCUACUCUAUCAUAAGCACACUCUAGUGUAGCUUUAACUUAACACAGAGAUAAUUUUCCAAAAAGAGUUGUGCAAUACAAGAAUACUAUCAUUCUACUUGCUUCACACUGCAAUACAUAAAUAUUAAGUCUGAAUGUCAAGACUAUCAUUCAAUCAAUGCUUUUCUACCCAUUUACUGACACCAGCAAACAUAUAUCACCAGUACCCUUGGCUACCACAUCAUUAUGUCUGUACACUGCUCAGAUCACAAUGUGAUUUAUCCAGAAAUAGUCCAUUACUUUUCCUACCAAUGGCAGAGACCGUCACUCUGUCCUACUAAGACCAUUUAAUGAAAUUGUUCUGUAAGGACCUUAUAUUAGAGCAGUUCAGGCAGAAUGUUCAUUUUCCUGUCUCUUGAGGAGUAAAAAGCAAUAGCCAUAAAUUUAUUCUCCCUGGUUUAACCUCUUUUAAUAGACAAUGACGACAAUACAAUUGUCCAUAAAAUAUUACCACAAAUUUUUAAAAUAUUUUCCCAAACCGCUUUUUUCUACAAUUCUAUUUUGCUCCUAGAAAAUCGGGGUGGGGGGAGAAUUAUUCAUUAAUGAGAGCCAA
rnacentral:lncRNA from 1 species